CUUUGAAUUCAUUACUGUUUAUACAAAAGGGGAAAACUUCAGAACAAUUUUGUACUGUAAUAUCAAUAUGGACCAUAUAUGGUUGAUUUUAGAAUGACAUUUUUGGUAGUUUUAGUGCAUUUUGUAUGUGACAUUUACUGUUGGCCAAGCUGAAAGUUGGUAAGGAAAACUGAGGAGGUUUGAAAAAGUGACCUACAGUAAGUAUUCCGAAAUCCUAGCGAUUAUAUAAAAAUAAUGAUAAUAAAUAAAUGCCAUGCGAGUAUUGUUUAUUGUUCGAUCCUAAUGCAAUAACUAAUUCGCCCUUAUUGUAAAAUGUUAACUAAUUUUUUUUAUUAAAACUACAAAAUUUAUUUAUUUAUUUAUUUAUUUAUUAGACGCUUCCUCAGUUUAAUUAAGUUUCCCAGUCUUACGACAAACCAAAACUGCUGGCCAAGUUUGAGUUGAGCCUCAGCUGUGUGAUAAUAGCUGCUUUUGUUCUGGCGACGCUAACGUUACUCAUUCAAGCGGAACCGGUUUGGUUCAAAACCAUUUUUAUAACGUCUUUUUCCUAGUGCUUAGUGUUGCCAGCAUUGGUCUUGUUACUAUGGCGACAGACAUUUUAAAACGUUUUGAACAAUGGGGAUUGAGUGGCACAGUAGGCUUCUGUUGCAGUCCGUUUGGAUGCUGGGGAGUAAUACAAGUGAGGUAAGGGCUCCUUUCAACAUCUAUGAAGUGCUUAUUUGAAGUAAAUCUUGAACACCAUUGCUUAAAUGACUUGCCUGGAUGUUUUACAGUAUAAACAAACUCAACUCGCAUGGACCUGGACGUCAAACAGACUAGAAGAUGUAAGCACAAGUGUAAACUUGACCGCAUUCAAGACACGCAGCAGGACUGUGACAGACCAGUUCCUGAUAAGUUGGACACCCAUCAGCCAGAAGCCAUCAGCAGUGAAAUGCAAUCAAAUGACAAAGAGCUGCUUUUUAGUGGAUGGAAGAAAGGGAAAGAACUCGCUGCUAAAUCCCAGCAUGCUGCAGCGGAUACGCUCGAAAACAGGUUCUUGAAAGUGCGACAGAGUUUACUGCGAAAUACGAAUGAAAAUGUCAGUCAAGAUUUUAAUGAGCAGGCAGUUGAAUCCCUGCAGAGAAUUCUAGCAGGAGCAGAUCUGCUGAAAAAAGAAGAGGCUACGAUCAGUGUCCUCGGGUCAAAAUAUGAUUUCCUCAUAGAUCAUCAAGCCUUACAUCUGCCCUUCGGUUACUUUAUUAGGUCUAAUUCAACAAGAUCUGUUGAACGUUCCUCAAACCCAUCCAAAGCCGUUUUGAAGGAAAUAGCAAAGGGCCGAGAAAGAAGCAGAGCUGACAAAAGUUCCUCUUUGAAGAGUAAACAUCUCGACUUCUUUGAAGUCGUGAAGGAGCAACUGCAACAGAAGGACUUGGAGAAUCAACAUCUUGUCCAUUUGUUGUUGGUCAAGCGACAAGAACUGAAAGAAAUGCAAGAGAUGUCAAAGCAAAAAGAAAAGGAAACCCAACUCGUUACUGAAAAGCUGAAGUGUGAGGAACAGAAAAGCAGCGAAAUCGCCACCAGGUUUGAGCAAACCUCUGAAGAUUUGAAGAAGGAACUCGCUGAAGCCAAAAGUAACAACAAGACGUCUAUAAAACAGCUUAAAGCACUGAUGGAGAAAUACGAGCGCCUCAAAACACGCGCUAACGUCAUGAAGGACCAACUCAACGUGGAGCUCAAUGAGAAAAAGAGCUGUCAAAAAUCACUGAGGAAGCUCCAGCAGAUGUCUCAGGAGCUGCUAACCAAGCAGAAACUUCUAGAGGAGCAAAGAGAUGUAGCAGAUCGAGAUCUGGCUUUGUGUAGAGAGACGCUGCAGAUGAUGGACGCCGAGCACAAGAAGAACAUCAGCAUUCAUCAGAGACUUAAGGAGGAGAUAUCAGCCACGAGAAGUGAAUCUGCAAACCUCCGAGAACAUUUACGUAAAGCUCAGGAGAAGAACAAGGAGGUAAUUCAGUCGACUUGCUCCAAAGAGUCUGACAAUAAGAAGAAGGUUAAGGAAUUUCUGGAGGUGAUUGAAAAACUGAACGCGGAGUUGGAGAACUGCAAAACAGAAAGAGACCAAGCACUUCAACAGGUGGAGGCUGUGAAAUAUGAAUCGAAACUGAUUCACAACAAGCAGAGAGUGGAGAUGCUUCAGCUGCAGGAGCAGCAGAAAGCCUGUCUGCAGCAGUCUGAUGGUUUGAGAAGAGAGUGCGAGACUUUGAUGCAGACGGUCAGUAAACUCAAGAGAGACAAGCAAGUCUUGACAGAGAAGCUGGAGAGCAUUCAUAAAGAAAAGAUGGCGUCGGAGAUGGCAAGCACGAAGGAGGGAGCACGACUCAAAGAGGCCAUUCGACUGCUGGAGCGAGAGAGAGAGGUGCUGUUAGCGGAGAUGGAGGACUUGCGAAAGGAUUACCUCGGCCUCAGCGACAAGAUCACACAGAAAAUGGGCCACAUGGAUGCAGCUGAUCCUCCCAUGACCAUCACUGACAUCAUUACAAACCACCAGAGAAAUGCUCAGAAGUUCUCACACGCCGAUGGUGGAAUGAUUCCUGAUGAUGUGAUUCAGGACAUUAGAAGAAAACUAGAAGAGGAGAACCAGCAAAAAUGA
ensembl:lncRNA